UAGCAGCGGACUGGCAGCCAGCACGGGCUCAGGAGGCAGCUCCGAAACCCGGUUGUACGCCAGACCCGCGUGCUGCAGAGAUUGGCUCCGGAACGCAGGCUCUAUGUUUUGGAGCCUGCCAGGCGUCACGUGUCCCGAGGGCCCCGGGGUCCGCAGCGAGGCGCAGAGGCAGGGACAACAUGCGAAUGCAGAGAUUGGGGCGGGGCCAGGGGCAGGGGCGAGGGUGGCACCUUGGCAGCGGCGGUAGGGGUAAGGUGGUGCAACCAUUCGAAAGAAAAGGGGGAAUUUAGAGGGUGCCAGGGAAGCGCCUCAAUCUGAGACCCAUCGGGACUUAUUGCGAUCACAUUGCGACAGCAGGGGCUGCGGACGUACAGGUAACUCUUCCAUGGGUGUGGAAUUGUGAAGAGAAUGUCCAUGCGCCGGCCCGCCAUCCAUUCCCAGCAUGAAGUCCCCCGUCACGCAGGAGUAUGACCCACUUGUUGGCACCGGCGAACAGCUUCUUAAGCCGCGGUAACGUCCCGAUGCAGGAUGGCAGCUCCGUCAGUUGACAGCCGGUUACGGUUAACUCCACCAAGCUGUCCGGGAGCCCCUUCUCUGGAAUGCUCGUGAUGCUAUUGUUGGAGACAUCUAUGUUUGUCAACGUCUUCAAUGCGUCCAAACCUUAAACGUGUGAACACCAAACAUCCGUGUGGCAUCGCUCUAUUACUUGGCGUAAUGCGCGGAUGCUUCAUCAUCAUACCUUCUGGAAGUUGCG
rnacentral:lncRNA from 1 species